rnacentral:rRNA from 1 species
AAGUGGUAGGAGAGCGUUCUAUUUGCGUCGAAGGUAUACCGGUAAGGAGUGCUGGAGCGAAUAGAAGUGAGCAUGCAGGCAUGAGUAGCGAUAAUUAAUGUGAGAAUCAUUAACGCCGUAAACCCAAGGUUUCCUACGCGAUGCUCGUCAUCGUAGGGUUAGUCGGGUCCUAAGCCGAGUCCGAAAGGGGUAGGCGAUGGCAAAUUGGUUAAUAUUCCAAUACCAACAUUAGUGUGCGAUGGAAGGACGCUUAGGGCUAAGGGGGCUAGCGGAUGGAAGUGCUAGUCUAAGGUCGUAGGAGGUUAUACAGGCAAAUCCGUAUAACAAUACUCCGAGAACUGAAAGGCUUUUUGAAGUCUUCGGAUGGAUAGAAGAACCCCUGAUGCCGUCGAGCCAAGAAAAGUUUCUAAGUUUAGCUAAUGUUGCCCGUACCGUAAACCGACACAGGUGGGUGGGAUGAGUAUUCUAAGGCGCGUGGAAGAACUCUCUUUAAGGAACUCUGCAAAAUAGCACCGUAUCUUCGGUAUAAGGUGUGGUUCGCUUUGUAUUAGGAUUUACUCCGAAAGCAAGGAAACUUACAACAAAGAGUCCCUCCCGACUGUUUACCAAAAACACAGCACUCUGCUAACUCGUAAGAGGAUGUAUAGGGUGUGACGCCUGCCCGGUGCUCGAAGGUUAAUUGAUGGGGUUAGCAUUAGCGAAGCUCUUGAUCGAAGCCCGAGUAAACGGCGGCCGUAACUAUAACGGUCCUAAGGUAGCGAAAUUCCUUGUCGGUUAAAUACCGACCUGCAUGAAUGGCGUAACGAGAUGGGAGCUGUCUCAAAGAGGGAUCCAGUGAAAUUGUAGUGGAGGUGAAAAUUCCUCCUACCCGCGGCAAGACGGAAAGACCCCGUGGACCUUUACUACAGCUUGACACUGCUACUUGGAUAAGAAUGUGCAGGAUAGGUGGGAGGCUUUGAGUAUAUGACGCCAGUUGUAUAUGAGCCAUUGUUGAGAUACCACUCUUUCUUAUUUGGGUAGCUAACCAGCUUGAGUUAUCCUCAAGUGGGACAAUGUCUGGUGGGUAGUUUGACUGGGGCGGUCGCCUCCCAAAUAAUAACGGAGGCUUACAAAGGUUGGCUCAGAACGGUUGGAAAUCGUUCGUAGAGUAUAAAGGUAUAAGCCAGCUUAACUGCAAGACAUACAAGUCAAGCAGAGACGAAAGUCGGUCUUAGUGAUCCGGUGGUUCUGUGUGGAAGGGCCAUCGCUCAAAGGAUAAAAGGUACCCCGGGGAUAACAGGCUGAUCUCCCCCAAGAGCUCACAUCGACGGGGAGGUUUGGCACCUCGAUGUCGGCUCAUCGCAUCCUGGGGCUGGAGCAGGUCCCAAGGGUAUGGCUGUUCGCCAUUUAAAGCGGUACGCGAGCUGGGUUCAGAACGUCGUGAGACAGUUCGGUCCCUAUCUGCCGUGGGCGUAAGAAGAUUGAAGAGAUUUGACCCUAGUACGAGAGGACCGGGUUGAACAAACCACUGGUGUAGCUGUUGUUCUGCCAAGAGCAUCGCAGCGUAGCUAAGUUUGGAAAGGAUAAACGCUGAAAGCAUCUAAGCGUGAAGCCAACUCUAAGAUGAAUCUUCUCUAAGCUCUCUAGAAGACUACUAGUUUGAUAGGCUGGGUGUGUAAUGGAUGAAAGUCCUUUAGCUGACCAGUACUAAUAGAGCGUUUGGCUUAUCUUUAAUAAAGCAU